UACGUAGGCGGACUUUUAAGUCAGUGGUGAAAUCCCGAGGCUCAACCUCGGAUCUGCCAUUGAUACUGGAAGUCUUGAAUUUGGUUGAAGUGGGCGGAAUGUAGCAUGUAGCGGUGAAAUGCUUAGAUAUGCUACAGAACACCGAUCGCGAAGGCAGCUCACUAAGCCAAUAUUGACGCUCAGGCACGAGAGCGUGGGGAGCAAACAGGAUUAGAUACCCUGGUAGUCC
rnacentral:rRNA from 1 species